UAAUACGUAGGGGGCAAGCGUUGUCCGGAAUUAUUGGGCGUAAAGAGCGUGUAGGCGGCCAGGUAGGUCUGCUGUGAAAACUCGAGGCUCAACCUCGAGCUGUCGGUGGAAACCAUCUGGCUAGAGUCCGGAAGAGGAGAAUGGAAUUCCUGGUGUAGCGGUGAAAUGCGCAGAUAUCAGGAAGAACACCCGUGGCGAAGG
rnacentral:rRNA from 1 species